rnacentral:rRNA from 1 species
AGAGUUUGAUCCUGGCUCAGGAUGAACGCUGGCGGCGUGCUUAACACAUGCAAGUCGAGCGAAGCAUAGAUGUGGAAGUUUUCGGAUGGAAGCGUGUAUGACUGAGCGGCGGACGGGUGAGUAACGCGUGGGUAACCUGCCUCAUACAGGGGGAUAACAGUUAGAAAUGACUGCUAAUACCGCAUAAGCGCACAGGACCGCAUGGCCCGGUGUGAAAAACUCCGGUGGUAUGAGAUGGACCCGCGUCUGAUUAGCUGGUUGGUGAGGUAACGGCCCACCAAGGCGACGAUCAGUAGCCGACCUGAGAGGGUGGCCGGCCACAUUGGGACUGAGACACGGCCCAAACUCCUACGGGAGGCAGCAGUGGGGAAUAUUGCACAAUGGGGGAAACCCUGAUGCAGCAACGCCGCGUGAGUGAAGAAGUAUUUCGGUAUGUAAAGCUCUAUCAGCAGGGAAGAGAAUG